rnacentral:rRNA from 1 species
CCUACGGGUGGCAGCAGUGGGGAAUAUUGGACAAUGGGGGCAACCCUGAUCCAGCCAUGCCGCGUGUGUGAAGAAGGCCCUCGGGUUGUAAAGCACUUUCAGUGAGGAAGAACGCCUGGUGGUUAAUACCCAUCAGGAAAGACAUCACUCACAGAAGAAGCACCGGCUAACUCCGUGCCAGCAGCCGCGGUAAUACGGAGGGUGUGAGCGUUAAUCGGAAUUACUGGGCGUAAAGCGCGCGUAGGUGGCUUGAUAAGCCGGUUGUGAAAGCCCCGGGCUCAACCUGGGAACGGCAUCCGGAACUGUCAAGCUAGAGUGCAGGAGAGGAAGGUAGAAUUCCCGGUGUAGCGGUGAAAUGCGUAGAGAUCGGGAGGAAUACCAGUGGCGAAGGCGGCCUUCUGGACUGACACUGACACUGAGGUGCGAAAGCGUGGGUAGCAAACAGGAUUAGAUACCCCUGUAGUC